CUUGGAAGCAAUCACGCUGGAUGUUGUAUCCCGGAAGUGGUGCGGCGAUUCUUGUGGGCUGGAACAUGAAUAACGACACCGGAUGGAUUUUGCUGAUGGUGGCGGCAUUUGCUGGAGCCUGUGUCCCAAAUGGUCUGGACCGAACGCUGCUGAAGGCAUAUCCGACUGAUUUGGUCAAGAACCAGGCUAUCGUUCCGUUCGUCAUGUCCACGCUGAUGACACAGAUGACGAUGCUGCUUAUGGAGAUGACAGAUAAAGGUGCCGAAGCUGCAGGAGCAGGUGCCGUCCCUGGUGGGGUCACAAGCGUGCUGCCUGGACCCAUUCAGCGUAUGGCAGAUCGUCCCUUCUUUGGCAUUGUCUGGAACAAGAAACCAAAGAUGAACUUCUUCUCUGGGCACAUAGCUUCACCAUAAGCGAAUGGCUAAGAUCAUGCACGCUAUUCUGAGACAAGGCGUAGGACCCACACUGCAUAGCGUUGAUCGCAUUAAGCAUGCUGUGAGUGCAGUUCAUGUAACGGCGGCUCCCAUCAUGGCUGGGUGCGACCGACAAACCUAAUGUCACACAAUCCGGAAUAAAUGGGUGGAGGGCUGCGAUUCUUUCGUGACGAAGUUCUUCUGUCCUUUAUGCGUCACCUUACCACUGUUUUUGGGGCAAAUAUAGGGAAUUGCUUGUCACUUGCAAACAUUCUCCUAACUCAUCGCUUGCGCUGAGCACUUUUCGUCCUCUGCACCACUGUUGAAGAGAAUGACACGAUCUUUGUGCUUUUUAAUCUUGGAUUUUCACUGCAGUGUGUUGGCGAUCUGUGGUUAACGCAAUCCGCACUAACUUGGGUAAUCUGGUGCUUUAGAAAUAUACGCUUCUGCGGAAACGUU